UACAGAGGUCCCAAGCGUUGUUCGGAUUCACUGGGCGUACAGGGUGCGUAGGCGGUCGGGUAAGUCUGAUGUGAAAUCUCACAGCUUAACUGUGAAACUGCAUUGGAUACUAUCCGGCUCGAGGAAUGGAGGGGAGACUGGAAUACUUGGUGUAGCAGUGAAAUGCGUAGAUAUCAAGUGGAACACCAGGGGCGAAGGCGAGUCUCUGGACAUUUCCUGACGCUGAGGCACGAAAGCCAGGGGAGCAAACGGG
rnacentral:rRNA from 1 species